GGGGGCGUAAAGGUUUCGACGGGGGUUUUGAAGUGUGAUAAGCGAGCGGAGUUGGGCAAUCUCCUUAAACUGUACCACGUUUAAAUAUAAACGCUAGAAAUAACAUUACUGUAAGCAGAAACAACUUACAGGUAGCUGCUUAAGUCAGCUACUGUUCUGUGUCUGAGUACCACGGCUUUCACGGGGCAUCGAUUAGUGGUGAACGACUUUAUGGCGUGUCCGUGCCGUAUUGUUGUAUACGGACUACUCUGCGUUUCAGCCCGCUUACCGGCGGUUGCUCAGGGGAAUUUUAAUAGGUAAUAUACGCUCGUAGAAAGUUGCAUGAAUGGACUUUCGGACAGGGGUUCAAUUCCCCUCGCCUCCACCA
rnacentral:tmRNA from 1 species